rnacentral:lncRNA from 1 species
UUAUAGUUGUGGGUAAUAUUUAUAAAUUUUGUAAAGUAUGCAAGUUGUUAUAUUAUAUUCGAUUGGUCAUGGAAUAUUCUUUGUGUCGAAAAAUAUUCGUACGACGGUACAAUCAUUGGUGGACCCCACAACGGAAUUAUUGCCGGAUUGAGAAAACGACAAAAAUAUUUUAUUGAAAAUAACGGCGGAAGUUUUACCGUUGAUACUGUUGAACUACUCGGUAGUAAAAGUACAGUAAUACGCGUUGUUGCAUAGUAGCAUACGGUAUUGAUUAUUGAUAUUUAUGUGAGAAGUCAC